UUCUAAAAAAGACUGAUUCUUUGUUGUGUUUGAUUACUUAAAAAAGUUGUGUAUGACUAAAGCUGAAGUGGUUUGAGAGCAGAAUUUGAAUUGCUGCUGCUUUAUUACUAUUACUUAUUGCAAACACAAGAACGGGCACGAUACAAAAAUUCCACGAUAAAUAGAAAAGCAAUCAUACACGGCCAUAUUAAUCUAUGAACAAAUAAAUUAAAGAGAUGACUAAGAGUGGACUGUACUUUUAACUUGGCAUUUACACUUUAAAUCUCUCUUCCUUGUUUUGAUUUGUCCGUCACUUGAACACAAUAAGAUCAGGACGUGCAAGAUGGCCAUCAAACAAAUAGAAUCAAGCGGGUCUGAAUCACAGAUAUUGUAGCUCGGAGAUGACACCUUCAGACUUUUAUUCAAAGAACUUGGAUAGGAAGAUAGAUAUUUCACUUCACUCCAAAUGGAGCUUGCAUUUAUUCCUCGAAGAAAACUACAACCUGAAAAUGAAUUCCAUAGAAAUUUCCAUUACUAAAGUUCAUUCAUGUAUAUAUAAUUCUGAUUUUACUUUUGAAAAUGUAUAAGGUUGGUUAACUUACAUGAUUUAUCGUGAAUGGUGCUUCCGCAGUCUGAGCUUACUUGUAGAUAGGUGGAGGUGGGGAAGCAUAGACGUAAGCUGGAGGCGGAGGUGAUUUGUAAAUGUACUUUGGAGCGGGAGCUGGGGAGGGAGGAGGUGGUGAUUUGUAAUGGUAUGGUGGAGGUGGAGAUGGAGAAGGUGGUGGAGGGCUCACGUAGUGGUAAGGAGGUGAAGGAUACGACGUUGGUGGUGGAGGGGAUUUGUAGUAGUAGGGAUGAUGAGGAGUGGGAGAUGGUGGAGGAGGACUUUUAUAGUAAUAAGGAGGUGGUGGAGAUGGGGACGGGGGUGGAGGGGAUUUGUAGUAAUAUGGAGGUGGUGGUGAUGGGGAUGGUGGUGGUGGUGAGUGGUAGUAGUAGGGAGGGUGUGUGCUCUCUUUAGGUGGAGGUGGGGAGUGAUAGUAGUAAGGUGGUGGAGGGGAUGGUGAAGGUGGUGGGGGAGAUUUAUAGUAGUAUGGAGGAGGAGGGGAUGGUGAAGGUGGGGGUGGAGAUUUAUAGUAGUACGGAGGGGGAGGAGAGGGUGAUGGUGGAGGUGGAGAUUUAUAGUAGUACGGAGGGGGAGGAGAGGGUGAUGGUGGAGGUGGAGAUUUAUAGUAGUAUGGAGGCUUAUAAACCGGUGAGGGUGGAGGUGGGGAGUGGUAGUAGUAUGGAGGGGGAGGUGAGGGGGAUGGUGGAGGGGGAGAGUGGUAGUAGUAUGGAGGGGGAGGUGAAGGGGAUGGUGGAGGUGGAGAGUGGUAGUAGUAUGGAGGUUUAGGCUUUGGUGAUGGUGGGGGUGGAGAUUGGUAGUAGUAUGGAGGCUUUGGCACCGGUGAUGGUGGAGGUGGAGAGUGGUAGUAGUAUGGAGGUGGAGGAGAGGGAGAUGGAGGAGGUGGAGAGUGGUAGUAGUAUGGAGGCUUAGGUUUUGGUGAUGGAGGGGGUGGUGAUUGGUAGUAGUAAGGAGGCUUUGGCACCGGUGAUGGUGGAGGUGGAGAGUGGUAGUAGUACGGAGGCUUAGGUUUUGGUGAUGGGGGAGGUGGAGAUUGGUAGUAGUAUGGAGGCUUUGGUACUGGUGAUGGAGGAGGUGGAGAGUGGUAGUAGUAUGGAGGUUGAGGUUUUGGUGAUGGUGGAGGUGGAGACUUAUAAUAAUAGGGAGGUGACUUGACGGGUGGUGGUGGUGACUUGUAAACAUAAGUUGGUGAUGGUGGUGGUGGUGAUUUGUAUACGUAAACUGGAGAGGGAGGAGGAGGUGAGUUGUAAUAGUAUGGUGUUGGUGAAGGCUUAUAAGGCUUCUUGUCACAGUCCUUGAAGUGCUUCUUUGAAGCAUAAGCAAAUGGCUUAGCCUUGAGCACAACUUCAUAUUUAUCUUUUGAUUUCACCUUCAAUGGAGUUCCCUCGUUCAGCUUGGUAGGUAUGUUGAAGGGAGAGUCCUUAGGUGGAGCAUGAAGGUGGGCCUUGCAGACUACUGAUCCAUAUUUCACAUAGUCAAAGUCCUUAACUGUGAUACUGUAUUUUCCAUUGCUCUUAGUUUCACCAUAAGCCUUUAUGAUGUUUCUUCCUGCUUUGCAUUUAACCUCCACAAUAGCACCUACAUUUACCCAAAAUGCUUCAUUA
rnacentral:lncRNA from 1 species